UAAAGGGUAGAAUAUCCUGUGGUGA
rnacentral:piRNA from 1 species